AUGGUAUUAAUCAAAGAAGAAGUACAUAUCAUUAACGUGAGCAAAAUCAAGACCUCGGGCCCCAGCUCUGUGGUGGGGCCUCGGCAAGCUGCAAGGGACACGGAAAGAAACAGGACGUGGGGAGAUGCACCUCUCUGUCCCCGUUUAUCCUCAUCCUUCUCUGCUUUGGACCACGGCCGGCGAGUUAGUCCACUGUGAGUACAUCACAAGCUCCCUUGCCACGGCUUCUGCUUGAGUUUGGUAAAUGGGAAGCAAGAGAUAGGAGGGUGGGGGUGGGGGGGUCAAUCCAAGUAUUUCUUCCCCUUCCUUCCUUGCUCUGGAGUCACAUCUUUGGCAGGAAGUGGAUCCUCCCAUGGAAACAGUUCCUACUGGGUGAACUUCUUCCCCAGUGACACUGUUUUCCCCCUUGUCUCUUGCGUCCACGAGAUUCUAGCAUCUGCUGCUCAUCUCUGGGUUCCUGGCUUCAUUUGAUCCCAUGGCCCUGCCUACCCCUCUAAAAUCUCACUCUUGAUCAGGUCUCUUCUUUCUGUGGAGAUACUGCCCUGAUACAUUCAUAUCAUGUUCUUCCAUUUUUCUUUUCUUUUUUUGUUUGUCUUUUGUCUUUUUAGGGCUGGACUCAUGGCAUAUGGAGAUUCCCAGGCCAGGGGUGGGAUGGGAGCUGUAGCUGCCGACCUGUGCCAGAGCUAUAGCAACGGGAGAUCUGAGCUGUGUCUGCAACCUACACCACAGCUCAUGGCAACUCUGGAUCCUUAACCCACUGAGUGAGGCCACAGAUUGAUCCCACAUCCUUAUGGAUGCUAGUCGGGUUUGUUAACUGAGCAUGAUGGCAAUGCCCAUUUUUAUUUUCUAUUAAUUGGGAAUGAAGUUCUAAGAAAAGUUACUCAGUGUGUUUUUGUAUUUUCUACCUUUUCGGGAGAUUUAUUUAAAGCCUUAUAUGGUACAGGUACCAGUCAUUCAGAACAGAGGCUGACUUGUGUGUUGUUCCAGUACAUUCUGGGUAAUUAUUUGCCAUUUUUGGUACAAUGAAAUCUAAUUCCAGGAUAUUAGAAUUGAAAGGAAAGAAGUGAAAGAUAAGUGAUGAGAUCUAAAAUAAAAUGCAUUAGCUGAUUCUGCA
rnacentral:lncRNA from 1 species